GGCAACCACUCUCACAGAGUCCAAGGCAACGGAGGCCUGCCUUCCCAGAUAUACCACUUCUAUGUUUUUCUUUUUUGGUAAUUUCCUUUGACCCUGAGUUAACUCAUCCCCAUUCCCAUUAUCGUUGGACUACAGGUCACCCAGGCUUCAGGCAUAACUGUUAAAGAGCUUGAUAAACACCUACCGUGGUUACCACUGCAAACAUGCUGCCGAGUAUUGAUGUUCCCAUCCAUAUUCCAUCCUUGUUUCUAACAGGAGGACUUCAGAUGGCACACUGCACACUGUCCUUGUGAUGGGUGAUUCGAUGGUUUACCAACUUGUAUCCAACAUUACUUCGUGAAAGAACAGUUCUAACAAUUUUGUAAGAUUACCUUAUA
rnacentral:lncRNA from 1 species